AUCUACCUGACGAAUCCCGAAUAGGACGAAAUGCGCGUCCUGGAU
rnacentral:hammerhead_ribozyme from 1 species